rnacentral:lncRNA from 1 species
AUUAUUUAAUUUAUUAAAUCUUCGCAGCGGACAACAACAUAAUUAUUAUCAUAAUGUGCCAACAUGAUCUCAACAAAACAUCUCAACAAAUCAUUCAUCACAAACAACGUAAAUAACAAUAAUAUAGCUAUCGGAUCCCAUAAUCCCCGGUGUCACAUGACCAGAGCAUUUGACUCGACUCUGUAGAAUGACCCUACACUUAUUCUUCGAACCUCAACAAUAGCUACUCCUCUUUAUCUG